GCAGAUAAAAAGAUAUAUCCAUCUAUAAUGAAAUUUUAUUAGUAAAACUAUGCAAUCAUAAUUUCCUAAUUAAUAAUGUUUCUGAGAUUUUACUUGAAAAACAAUUUUUUCUUUUUGCUAAUGAAAGAGACUUUUAUUAAUAACACAAACGGAAGUUAUUAUAUGAUGGUAACUGAAUGUAUAGUCCCAGUUCCAUAGAGGUCUUCCUUUAGUUCAUUAAGGAUAAAUGGGGGUGGGUCUACAAAAAUCAAAAUGUUUUUCCCCAUAACUGGACCUCUGCCUUUCCCAUAGCAGGCUAGUUUAUCUGCUCCAGCAUUAACUUCCCUAAGGAUGUGGCACACCUGUGGGCUGCCCAGGUUCUUCAUUAGGUACCUGCAAUCCAUUAACAUCUGUGAGAAAAUUAGAUUAUUAAAUGAUAAUAGUUGAAUCAAUACCUGUGAAUCAAUUUCCACAGUAAGUGAAACUAAGUUGUUACUGAGUGCCAAGCUUAGACCAUUGUAGAAGGCUAGUAUUUCCAUAUGAAUGGCAGAGUGUGUAGUUGUGAUUCGAAUGGCUAAAUAUUGGACUCAUAGGGUGAUUGUACAAUCGUUACUAGGCUACAAGUUAUAGCUUAGGAGAUUAAUAAAAUUCUAAGUGACGUUACAUGCAUAAAAUGACUCUCUUAUUUCCAAAAAGGAAAAGAAAAGAAAAUAAUACAUCUGAGUUAGACUAGCUAUUUAAUUUCAUGUACUUAUGUUCUUUGUUAACAAUAUCAGUUAUGUAUCAUGUACUCAAAAGUUACUCAUGAAGAAGAAAAACUAUCCAUCUUUAGAAUAACAUUAGGUUUUCCUAGGUAGUUAAACUACUUGACAAGAACAUUAAUUAAAUCAAUUC
rnacentral:lncRNA from 1 species